rnacentral:rRNA from 1 species
UACGAAGGGGGCUAGCGUUGCUCGGAAUCACUGGGCGUAAAGGGUGCGUAGGCGGGUCUUUAAGUCAGGGGUGAAAUCCUGGAGCUCAACUCCAGAACUGCCUUUGAUACUGAGAAUCUUGAGUAUGGGAGAGGUGAGUGGAACUGCGAGUGUAGAGGUGAAAUUCGUAGAUAUUCGCAAGAACACCAGUGGCGAAGGCGGCUCACUGGACUGGUAUUGACGCUGAGGUGCGAAAGCGUGGGGAGCAAACAGG